GGGAAUCUCACCUGUAGUGCGACCGUGCCUUCUCGAGACCUUCUUUUGCACGGACUCUCUUAUCUCUCCCAUCCUCCGCAGAACCGAGUCGGGUCCCGGUUCCGAGGCAGCUAGAGGUCUCAGAACAGCGGCGUCCUGUCCGCUCGCCCUAAACCGUGCGGUCCAAAAACGUAUCUUUCGUUUGAAUGUCGAUCGCCUCCGUUGACUUUCACUCCGCCGUUAUUUUACGCCUUUCCAAGCGCGCGUCGCGUCGGCAGCCGCCGCUUCAUAUUCCCGUCAAACCGCACGAAUGCCCAGUCACGCGCCGGCUAGCGUUUAUGUCCCGCGGAGACGUUUCCGUGUCCCGUAGUAAAAUCGUGCCGUGCACCGCCCGUGACACACCAGCAGCAGGUCCCAGUGUAAUUGAUUGCCGUGGAUCCUUUUUCCUGCGAUCUUUUUCCAUACGAGCAACGUCGUUGCGAUUCUAGAUUCCAGCUGCGCAUGUCUUACCAGGAUCUCUGUGCCCGGCUGCGCUGAUGGCGUAACUCACGUCAUUCAUUGGGCUGCGCUACUGCUGUACGACGCUGCAAUGUUCUGCUGCUUGGAAACCGCUGGCACACAGAUGGGCGGGGCUUAGUGAGGAGACUCCUAUGCUGGGCGUGGAACGACGUAAUAUCCCGAAUUUCUCUGAAGUGGUAUCUCCCAGUGGCUCUCCUCCUCUUGAUGCUGUGUCCUCCAUCACUCCAUUUCCUCUCAUUCUGUUUCUCCUUGAGGACGGAUUCGGGCCUUGGUGCACAGCAUCUCUUUGAUUUUCAUCCUGUCCCUCCACCUUUUGAACAAAGGAAGAGGAAGGUUUGCAAGGUCACAUAAAGAAGUAUCCCAGAAGAAAGUGCGCCGCCUGCCGGAUUCCUUGACCCCUCGAACCCACUCCCACAUGGAAGCAAAAGCCAAAGGGGCAUCGAAGUCUGCCUCCAAAGCAGAAAAAAAGGAGGCAGCACCACCAUCAAAGCCAGACCCCGUCCCCGCCGAACCAGCCCCUCCUGCAGCGCCCGAACCCGAAAAGCAAGCGGAUGGAGCUACCGACCAACAGGGGGCGACGGAGUCGGGAGGGUGCAGCUGUGAAAUGUUAGAAAGCUUGAAGCCUUUACUGAUUGGAGGAGCUGUAGUUGCCCUCGGAGCUGUAUUGGUGGGCGUAAUCUUAUUAGCCAAGAAAAACUGACCUCAGGCCUAUUAAAUGGCGGGUUUAUUAGUUCACAGACUAUAAAGGGGCAGAGGCACUAUGCUUCUUAAUUUUACGCUGUAUUUUAAUUUCAGUGCUUGUGGUGACUGGCAGCUUUAAAAGAAAACGACACAUGCAUUUAGCCAAAAAUAUAGCAAAAAGCAACUUUUAUUUUUAACAACAUGCGUCCCAGUUUUAACCCACACAUAUUUACAGCACAACCACAAAAUGUCAUCCUAAUGGUUCACUGUUUAAAUUACAUCAUCAUCCAUGCCACAAUGAAUGUUGAUGAACACAGUUGUCUUUUUUGAAAACUGAAGUACAGUAGCGUAGAUCAAUCUUGCAGCUUUACUUCCAUAAGACAAUAUUACAAAGCAUGAUUCUGGUUAAAAAUAUAUCAUUUUGUUGAAGGAAAUUAAAUGCUAUUGGUAUAUCUUCAUAGAAAAGUUUAUCACAUAUCAGUCCAAAUCCUACUGUAAACUAAAGGUGCAUGUAUUGUACGUGAUACUAUGACAUCUAUUGCAGUUUGUAUAUUGAAAGGAGGUGUAGAAAUGUAAAAAAAAUCGUAAUUGUAAUUUUCAAAGAUGUACAUGAGAGCUGAUUUUUCUAUAAGAAUCUCAUAUUAUGUUGUAGUCAGUUCUAGCAAACAGUCUGUAUGUGACAUCACCCCAAACCAAAUUUCAGCCAUUCAGUAGUCAUCCAGCACUCUGUAUAUUAUGUACUAUAGAGGAUUUGUGUCAUUUCAAAUUCUUAGUUUCUUGUCUAAAGGUGUUGACGCUUUUCUGGAUUAAUAUUACAAAGUGGACCACUGGAAAUAGAUUAGCGUGUGCAACAUAGACUUUGAUGGCUCUCGGCCAAUAGCUUCAAUUUCACAGUUACACUAUGAUGAGCGGUACACAAAUGCAUGCAGACACAAUCAAUAUACACUAACACGUCACAUUGCAUACUGUUACUAAAAAGAAAAUUUUCUUUAAAGUGCGUAUAUAAUGCAAUAAUUCAAAUAGGACUCUGUAUUUAAAAGUUAAAAGAUGUCGGUGAUGAUGUAGCAAAGAGGCGGUUGUCAUGGUGAUGAUGUUGGUAAUGAAUGCGUACAAUUUUAUUUGUUAGUUAUAAAGAGCUUUACUUAUACUUCUGAUGUGGCCCCUUUCCUACUGCCAUAUGUAUUUAUUUUUCACAAACUUUCGCUUGCUGCCUUCCUGCUGUGAAAUGAAAAUAAAUUUUACUCCCUUGUGUGACUUGAUGACAUAUUAAAGGGCAAUGAACCAGA